rnacentral:rRNA from 1 species
UACGUAGGGGGCAAGCGUUGUCCGGAUUUAUUGGGCGUAAAGAGCGUGUAGGCGGCCAGGUAGGUCCGUUGUGAAAACUGGAGGCUUAACCUCCAGCUGUCGAUGGAAACCAUCUGGCUAGAGUCCGGAAGAGGAGAGUGGAAUUCCUGGUGUAGCGGUGAAAUGCGCAGAUAUCAGGAAGAACAUCCGUGGCGAAGGCGGCUCUCUGGGACGGUACUGACGCUGAGGAGCGAAAGCGUGGGGAGCGAACAGG